rnacentral:rRNA from 1 species
UACGAAGGGGGCUAGCGUUGUUCGGAUUUACUGGGCGUAAAGCGCACGUAGGCGGAUUUGUCAGUCAGGGGUGAAAUCCCGGGGCUCAACCUCGGAACUGCCUCUGAUACAGCAAAUCUCGAGUCCGGAAGAGGUGAGUGGAACUCCUAGUGUAGAGGUGAAAUUCGUAGAUAUUAGGAAGAACACCAGUGGCGAAGGCUGCUCACUGGUCCGGAACUGACGCUGAGGUGCGAAAGCGUGGGGAGCAAACAGG